CAGCUCUUCUGUGCCUUUUUCUUCUUUUUCUUUUGCUUGGGUGGCUGGAGCACCACUUUUAUGGCCGCAUCAAAGACUGCUUUAACAUUCUGCAUUCAUAACAAAGUUUUCACAAACCCAUGAAUACAUUAAUUAAGUUUCAAAAACACAACAGUUUCUUCAAAAAAAUUUAACAAAUACGCCACAAAAACUCGAAACAAGAUUACCCAG